CAAUGAUCGGGAUAUAAACCCAGGUAUUCAAGCCAGCAACAGCUACCCUCUUUGGGUCUCCUCCCUUUGUACGGGAGCUCUGUUUUCACUCUAUUAAAUCUUGCAACUGAAAAAAAAAUCCUGCUAGUUUAAACUUCCGUGACAAUCCAAAUAUUCCACUCCCUAGUGUUGAUAUUAUAGUAGAAGCUGAACCACCAGAUGUUGUGAAGUUUGCCAUACCAUCAGGUGCUGUGAAUCAGUUUUUAAGGUUCAUGGAUACAUAUGCUGGUUUGUUAUUAUAUAAGUAAGCUCAUGGCAUGGAAGUUUGGUGUACAGAUUAUUUUAUCACCCAUGUAUGAAGCAUAGCACCCAACAGUUUCUUGAAAACUACAAUGGUACUUUGAGAGCUGAGUGGGUAUCUCUGGAAGGGCCUAUGAGAGAAACAAUUAGAAAGUCUUCUAAGUGACUUGUCUGGGGAUCAGCAGAGGGACCUGCUUGGGGACUAGAAAGUGGACUUCCUAUGGGAAACAUAGGGGUCCAUGCUGUGAGUCCUGCAAGAGGGCAUGCUGAGAGACAUGCUAGGGAAUACAUGUGAAGUCAUACAAGGAGACUUAUUGUGAGGCCUGGAGGGAGACAUGCUCUGAGUCCUAUAAAGAGGGCAUGCUGAGAGACAUGCAAGAGGAUAUGCCAUGAGUCCUACAAGAGGACUUGCUGUGAGUCCUGAAAAAGGCCAUUCUGUGAGUCGUUCAAAGAAACCUGUGGUAAAUCCUGCAAGAUGACAUGCUAAGAGACUUGUUAUGGUGUUUGCUGUGAGUCCUACAAAGAAAUGUGCUGAGCGUCCUACCAGAGAAUAUGCUGAGACAAGCAAAGCAAUGAAUUGUGAGAUCUUCAAAGAGACGUCCUGUGAGUUCUGCACAGAUAUUUGUUCUGGGAUGGGCAAGAACUACUGUGAGUCCCACAAGGAGACCUCUUAUGAUGCCUGAAAGGGAACUUGUUCUGGGAGUUGCAAUGGGACUUACCAUAAAACCAACAGAAGCAUAUGCUGGGGAAACUUCAAGAUCUGCAAAACAGUUAACUCAGUCUACUACUGACAGAAAUCAAAAUAGAAGGGGAUUCUCAAUUUUGAUGGUAAAAUCUACACAAAUAUUUUCUAUGCUGUUCUACAAGUUACUUUUUUUUUUACUAUCAUUAUGAUGUUGAGAACAUCCUUCCAUAACAAUUCAUACAGAUUCACUAUUUUUUCUAACUGUUGCAUAUUUUUAUAAAAAUUAUUUUAAAAAGUCAUCGUGUGUAUAUAUUUAAAGAAGUUUGUAAGGUUGCACACCAAAUUAUUAAUAUUAGGGAAGAGAGAACAUUAUUUGCUAUUUACAUUUUAUACUUCUAUAUUAUUUGAAUGUUUUUGUAUAAAUAUUUUACCAUUUGCCGAUUACCUUUAUAAUUUUAAAAUUAAAAUAAAAUAAUAAAAGAAACGAAGAUAGCCUGUAAGUAAAAAUAAAUUGAGUAAGAUGAUACAGUUGUCUACCCCAGCGUGUUUCAUGAAGUCUAAUAAUGAGAUAAAUCAAUUAUGUAUUUUUUUAUUUUUCUAAGAAGGAAAUUAAUGCUGCAAAUAAACAGAGUCACAAAGCACGGCUGGAUGAACAUUGAUGGACGGACUUGCCUUUUUUAUCUGUACUGUCUUUUGGAGUCAUGUCUAGUGUAGGAGAGUCGGGGAAUGCCUCUUACCUGCACAAAGUCAAUAAUGACUGAAAUGUGUUCAAACAAAAAAAUGUGAAACUAUAAUAAUUUCUUGUCACAUAAUGGGCAACCAAUAUUUCUUUUUUGAAUCCAAGAAUACAAUAAAAAAUCACCACCACCAAGUUACUAAAUAAUGUUAGGUUUUUAUUACAAUUUGGGGAAAAUACUUCAUUUUUACAACAUUUGUUUUGUUAGUAUCAUCUCAUAAGAAUACCUAUUUUCCGUUUUCCUGUUGAGGACUUCAUUUUUUUGUCAUUGUUAUAUCUGCACAGGGAAACAUUCUCAAUUUAUCAUACUUUGACAUAUAAACACACUCAUUAAUUUUGCUCACUGACCUAAAAUCAAUAUUCAUAAUAAAAGAUGCAAGAAUUUGAUUGAGUUUUUGUGAUGGUUAAUACCAAGUGUCAACUUGACUGGAUUGAAGGAUACAAAGUAUUGAUCCU
rnacentral:lncRNA from 10 species